rnacentral:rRNA from 1 species
CCUACGGGUGGCUGCAGUGAGGAAUAUUGGUCAAUGGACGAGAGUCUGAACCAGCCAAGUAGCGUGAAGGAUGACUGCCCUAGGGGUUGUAAACUUCAUGUAUAAAGGAAUAAAACGAGGCACGUGUGCCUUUUUGCAUGUACGUUAUGAAUAAGGAUCGGCUAACUCCGUGCCAGCAGCAGCGGUAAUACGGAGGAUCCGAGCGUUAUCCGGAUUUAGUGGGUUUAAAGGGAGCGUAGAGGGGUUGUUAAGUCAGUUGUGAAAGUUUGCGGCUCAACCGUAAAAUUGCAAUUGAUACUGGCAGUCUUGAUUACAGUUGCGGUAGGCGGACUUCGUUGUGUAGCG